ACUGAAAGAAAUGUCUGGUGCUUGUAGGAGAACAUGUGAAUUAUGAUUCUGGAAAAAUUCUCUCUAGCAUAUACUUUAGAAUAUAUUACUUUACUAGAGCAUCAACUCGAUUGUGUAUGGUGGUCAAAUAUAAAAAAGAGAAAAACCGACAUGUUUUUGAGUAAUCUUACUCCAAAGCGCAAUCCCAAUAGUAUUUUGUAUUUUUCCUAAUUAAUUUCUCAUUUAAAAACAAGUUCUGCAUUUAUGAGCGUCGGAAUAUGGCCAGUCC
rnacentral:lncRNA from 1 species